rnacentral:rRNA from 1 species
UACAGAGGGUGCGAGCGUUAAUCGGAAUUACUGGGCGUAAAGCGUGCGUAGACGGUAGCGUAAGUCAGAUGUGAAAGCCCCGGGCUCAACCUGGGAAUUGCAUUUGAGACUGCUCUGCUCGGGUGCGGAAGAGGGAAGCGGAAUUUCCGGUGUAGCGGUGAAAUGCGUAGAGAUCCGGAGGAACACCGAAGGCGAAGGCAGUCUCCUGGCAAGUUACUGACGCUCAGGUGCGAAAGCUAGGGGAGCGAACAGG